rnacentral:lncRNA from 1 species
GAGACCGUCGUCGAGCUGUACGUGUGCUGAACGCGGAGGUGACGUCCGUUCGGCACUAGAUCGGACCGGAUCAUGGGACGGAUCGCGGGACGGUUCGUGGGACGGUUCGCGGGGCGGAUCGAGGGACGUGAGGACGUUCCACUACAUCAACCGCGUUUAUUAACGCUUCCUGUUGUGCGAUCUACAAGGAUACGUAGAUCUGAAAUCCCCCUCGUAGAUGGACAUCACCAUGAUAGGUCUUCGUGCGCGUAGGAAUAUUUUGUUUCCCAUGCGACGUUCCCCAACACAGCCGGCUAGGGAGCACCCGUCGCAUCAGCACCUUUGAUGUGACAGAGGCCUUCAAUUAAAGGCGAAAGUACGUCAGGUCGGGUACGAUGGAAUGGGAUACGUGUGGCUACAGUGGUGGCGGCCGUACCGCUGAUCGAUUCCAGCUACGACCCAUCAACCNUAUUCCGCUUGGACUCCGUUCCAAAAUUAGAUCUGAAAAGAGCCAAAAACACGGAAAAAAAACAGGAACUGGCACUUAGCACUGAAUUAAUAAGUUAGUCCCAAAAAAGAUAUAAAAGGUACAUAAAACAUCCAAAGAUGACAAGAUAACAGCAUGAAACCAUAAAAAAUUAUAGAUACGUUUGAGACGUAUCACAGCCCGACCACAUACCGCCACAGUUUUCCUCUAGACCGCGUUUCUGCGGAGCUCGGGCGGAGCCUUGCUGAGAUAAGAUCACCACCAACCUCCGGAGCGCCGUCACGCUGUGGGAGAACUCAUCUACCUCUCUGUCUCUCUUGCUAGAUCAAGAAGGCCGAGACCGUCGUCGAGCUGUACGUGUGCUGAACGCGGAGGUGACGUCCGUUCGGCACUAGAUCGGACCGGAUCAUGGGACGGAUCGCGGGACGGUUCGUGGGACGGUUCGCGGGGCGGAUCGAGGGACGUGAGGACGUUCCACUACAUCAACCGCGUUUAUUAACGCUUCCUGUUGUGCGAUCUACAAGGAUACGUAGAUCUGAAAUCCCCCUCGUAGAUGGACAUCACCAUGAUAGGUCUUCGUGCGCGUAGGAAUAUUUUGUUUCCCAUGCGACGUUCCCCAACACAGCCGGCUAGGGAGCACCCGUCGCAUCAGCACCUUUGAUGUGACAGAGGCCUUCAAUUAAAGGCGAAAGUACGUCAGGUCGGGUACGAUGGAAUGGGAUACGUGUGGCUACAGUGGUGGCGGCCGUACCGCUGAUCGAUUCCAGCUACGACCCAUCAACCGUAUACAACGCCCGCACGCCACCACCCACUCCAUUGCUUGGCCCGACAUGGCUACAGUGGAGGCGACCGUACCGCUGACCGGCGCCGGAUCCCACAAGAUGACGGCCAUCGUACCACCCGCGCCCCGCGUGAGGAGCACGCACCAAUCCCAUAGGCCAGCCGGUGGGUCCCAGAACCGGAUGGGACCCUGCAGCCGGCGGGCCCCGCCAGCGACAACACUGAUCAACGACGAGCCCUCUGACUAGCCGGAGAGGCCGCCAGCCGCCCCCCCUUGUUGUACCUUAUAUCCAUAUUUAGGCCGGGGGAUCGUCUAUAAAACCCCCUCGCCCUCCUUCAUGCAGAGGACCGACUAUUCUUACGCACCCACCCACUCACACAGGAGAGGUAGACUGCGAGCCGACUGCUCCAUCUUCCUCCUCCGUCGAACAGCUCAAGGAGCGCAAUGUAGUUUCAUUGGUUCAUCAACCACUCCGAAACGACUAGGGAUGUUACCUCCCACGGAGGGCCCCGAACCUGGGUACAUCGCGCGUCUUGCAUCGCUAGUUACCAAUCCCGUUCCCGGAGCCCGCCGGUGUUCUUUCGGUCCCAACCACUCUCUAUAAGCCUACCCAUGACAUCUGUCGUGAGAAAACGACGACAUAUAUUUAAGAACGGAGAGAGUACAUAUCUCUGAUGGAAAGAACUGGCGGCUGGAUGCGCACAGAGUCCCUCCCUGAAACAACUAUUCUAUUCCCCGUAAUAAAAGAAAGAAUCCAAAUGCUAAUAAGUGCAGCUGCACUUUUUAGCUACCGUGAGUGCA